AGAAGAGGGGCCUUGUGGGAGCCCACCCUUUAUGUAAUUUAUUCAAAACACAUUGAUGGCAUUAGGAGAUACUCAAGACAACCUCUUGUCACUUGGUCAUUGGAUUGGUUCCUUGUUGAAGGUGCACAAAAAGAAAAAGAUUCCAUUGACCCAAUGGAUAGUAGUGAUUCUGUGAGUGAUAGUGAAAGUCGUUCUACACAAUAACACUCCUGUCUUUUGUCUCCCUCACAACAAAGGUUUUCAAAGUGGCUGUACCAUUUUGCACACCCACCAGAAAUGUAUGGGAGUUUCUAACAUUCUACGUCCUCAUUUGGGGAGCAUUUGGUAUUGUCAGUGCUCUGGACUUUGGCCAUUCUAAUAGGUUUAUUGAUGAGGAAGACUUCACUCCAUAUUUGGAUUCCUGUGGUCUCUCGUUCAGACCCACCUCUCCAUGAGAAACCAGUCAAU